rnacentral:rRNA from 1 species
GACGAACGCUGGCGGCGUGCUUAACACAUGCAAGUCGAACGAAGUGGCGAACGGGUGAGUAACGCGGAAUCAACCUGCCCUUCAGAGGGGGACAACAGGUGGAAACGACUGCUAAUACCGCAUACUGAAGGAGGGGAGUGCGUGUGAGGAGCUAGUUGGAGGGGUAACGGCCCACCAAGGCGAUGAUCAGUAGCCGGUCUGAGAGGAUGGACGGCCCCAUGGGGACUGAGACACGGCCCAGACCCCUACGGGAGGCAGCAGUGGGGAAUCUUCCGAAAUGGACGACAGUCUGACGGAGCAACGCCGCGUGAGUGAUGACGGCCUUCGGGUUGUAAAGCUCUGUUAAUCGGGACGCGGUACCGGAAUAGAAAGCCACGGCUAACUACGUGCCAGCAGCCGCGGUAAUUC